AACGCAGCUUGCGCCCCAUUUCUAAGGAGUGGGGCAUGUCUGUUUGAGAGCCGUCAUGUUUCUGCCAUGGAUGCAUUCCAGUGGCGAGUUGAGGUCUAAUCCCUGAUCGGGGUUUUGUCUCCAAAGAGAGCAAGAGAAGGCAGACUGGGUUUCUUCUUCCAUGUGUCAAAGACCAUGUCUUUUCAUGGGUUGGGUUCCCGGUCGGCGGAGGGAUCCGCACAGCGUGGUCUCGUCGAUCAAUCAUUCGGUCUCAAAUCAGGCAAGACUACCCGCCGAACUUAA
rnacentral:misc_RNA from 1 species